GCUGGGUGUGGUGGCAUGCACCUGUAAUCCCAGCUACUUAGGAGGCUGAGGCAGGAGAAUCGCUUGAGCCCAGGAGGUGAAGGUUGCAGUGAGCUGAGAUCGCGCCACUGCACUCCAGCCUGGGUGACAAAGUGAGACUCUGUCUCAA
rnacentral:SRP_RNA from 1 species